GGACGAUGUCGGGAGCCUUCCCAACAGUCCUGCAGAGGAGAAAUGCCUUCACACCUAUGGACUGGACACAGUAUAAACUCGCAGUUUGCAGAGAGGUGGUGCCCUAUCUAAAGAAUGCAGAACAUUAAGAAUGCUGCAGUCCUGCAUUUCACCUAUCCCACUCAACAAACACACACACACACACACA